rnacentral:rRNA from 1 species
AUUGAACGCUGGCGGCAUGCUUUACACAUGCAAGUCGAACGGUAACAGGGUGCUUGCACCGCUGACGAGUGGCGAACGGGUGAGUAAUGCGUCGGAACGUGCCGAGUAGUGGGGGAUAACGCAGCGAAAGUUGUGCUAAUACCGCAUACGUACUGAGGUAGAAAGUGGGGGACCUUCGGGCCUCACGCUAUUCGAGCGGCCGACGUCUGAUUAGCUAGUUGGUGAGGUAAAGGCUCACCAAGGCGACGAUCAGUAGCGGGUCUGAGAGGAUGGUCAGCCACACUGGGACUGAGACACGGCCCAGACUCCUACGGGAGGCAGCAGUGGGGAAUUUUGGAUAGUGGGCGCAAGCCUGAUCCAGCCAUGCCGCGUGUCUGAAGAAGGCCUUCGGGUUGUAAAGGACUUUUGUCCGGGAGCAAAUGCCGGUGGCUAACAUCCACCGGAGCUGAGAGUACCGGAAGAAUAAGCACCGGCUAACUACGUGCCAGCCGCCGCAGUAAUAC